GCCGGAUUAGCUCAGACGGAAGAGCAGACGCCCCGUAAGCGUCAGGUCCGCAGUUCGAUUCUGCGAUCCGGCACCA
rnacentral:tRNA from 2 species